rnacentral:rRNA from 1 species
CAGUCGAGCGGAUGAGGGAGCUUGCUCCUGGAUUCAGCGGCGGACGGGUGAGUAAUGCCUAGGAAUCUGCCUGGUAGUGGGGGACAACGUUUCGAAAGGAACGCUAAUACCGCAUACGUCCUACGGGAGAAAGCAGGGGACCUUCGGGCCUUGCGCUAUCAGAUGAGCCUAGGUCGGAUUAGCUAGUUGGUGAGGUAAUGGCUCACCAAGGCGACGAUCCGUAACUGGUCUGAGAGGAUGAUCAGUCACACUGGAACUGAGACACGGUCCAGACUCCUACGGGAGGCAGCAGUGGGGAAUAUUGGACAAUGGGCGAAAGCCUGAUCCAGCCAUGCCGCGUGUGUGAAGAAGGUCUUCGGAUUGUAAAGCACUUUAAGUUGGGAGGAAGGGUUGUAGAUUAAUACUCUGCAAUUUUGACGUUACCGACAGAAUAAGCACCGGCUAACUCUGUGCCAGCAGCCGCGGUAAUACAGAGGGUGCAAGCGUUAAUCGGAAUUACUGGGCGUAAAGCGCGCG